rnacentral:rRNA from 1 species
UACAGAGGUCUCAAGCGUUGUUCGGAUUCAUUGGGCGUAAAGGGUGCGUAGGUGGCGCUGUAAGUCGGGUGUGAAAUUUCGGAGCUUAACUCCGAAGCUGCAUUCGAUACUGCGGUGCUUGAGGACUGGAGAGGAGACUGGAAUUCAUGGUGUAGCAGUGAAAUGCGUAGAGAUCAUGAGGAAGACCAGUGGCGAAGGCGGGUCUCUGGACAGUUCCUGACGCUGAGGCACGAAGGCCAGGGGAGCAAACGGG